GGGGGGGAGAGAUCUAUUCAAAAGACACUACAUUCAUAUCUUACAACCUUCAUCCAAACACUUCCAUUCAUCCUCACAUCCAUUCCUCCUUAAAAACAAACCUUCAAACACUCACCAACACCUUGUGCCAUAGCAAAGGAAGGGAAGGAAAGUGCUUGGAUGUGCUUGCUGUCCAAUUUGGAUCGUUGGAGCGUUUAGGUGUUUUCUUUCUUUUGUUUUCAAUGUCUAAAUUUGUUUAUCUUUGCUUUGUGAGUGUGAGGAACUAAACCCCCCUUAGCUAGGGGGAAUUUGAAACCAUGUUCAUGCUUGCAAUAUGAUUUGAUUACUUUCAGUUGUGAUUCAUAAGUUGUGAAUUC
rnacentral:lncRNA from 1 species